rnacentral:rRNA from 1 species
AUUGAAUGCUAGCGGGAUGCUUUACACAUGCAAGUCGAACGAGUGGCGGACGGGUGCGUAAUAUAUCGGAACGUGCCCAGUAGCGGGGGAUAACUACUCGAAAGAGUGUCUAAUACAGCAUACUAUUAGAGCGACCGAUAGAGGAUUAGCUAGGUGUUGGGGUAAAGGCUCACCAAGGCAACGAUCCGUAGCUGGUUUGAGAGGACGACCAGCCACACUGUGACUGAGACACGGCCCAGACUCCUACGGGAGGCAGCAGUGGGGAAUUUUGGACAAUGGGGGAAACCCUGAUCCAGCCAUCCCGCGUGUAUGAGAAGGCCUUCGGGUUGUAAAGUACUUUUGGCAGAGAAGCGGUAUCUGCAGAAUAAGCACCGGCUAACUACGUGCCAGCAGCCGCGGUAAUAC